CUACCAAAGACUCAUUAAAGAGAAUUAUUGAAGGAGAUUGGAAUCGUAGACUUGCAAAUUUCCUUCUGCAACAACAUGUGACACCAUGCUCAAGCACUGGUAGUAGUCCAGCAGAGCUCCUUAUGAACCGGAGUCUUAAAACUUGUCUGGAUCAUUUACAUCCUGAUUUGACAUCUGAGUUACAAGAGAAGCAAGAAUUGUAAUUCAAUAAGAACUAUAAUGCUUCCACUGUGAGAGUAUUUGGAGCUGACAGUGCUGUCUAUGUCAAGAAUUAUGUUUCUGGGCCUAAAUGGAUACCUGCAAAAGUACUUGUGGCCACAGGACCUUUGUCAUACAAAGUUCAAAUUCCUGAUGGUAGGCAUGUCGAUCAGAUCCGGGAACGGAGUGAUGAGAUUGUGCCUGCUGUCGGUCCCAGUCAUACCGGGUUUUCUGUGAUACCAGAUGAUGUCGAACCACUUGGUGAUACAGGUGCCAGUUCUCCAGGAGUUGUUGUUGCAGAACCAGUUCCUUGCGGUCCAUCUGAGAGAGCACAGGAAGAAGGGAUGGGCACAACUGAAGGUCCAGGUGAAGCAGCUCCAAACAUGGUUUUGGGGCACCCAAGAAGAAAUAUUCACCCUCCCAGUUAUCUCAAAGACUUUGAGGUCUAGGGGGGAGGAGAGUUAUGUAUUGGGGUGUUAUGCAGUCCACCUUCCAGUAGAUGUCAGCAUAGUGAAGUUAUGCACUUGUUCUGUUCUGUUAGUCUCUCUUGUUUUUAUGUUAUUAUGUUUGUGUACUGAAGUAAAG